rnacentral:rRNA from 1 species
ACUCUUGAAGUCUUAGUGGCGCAGCUAACGCACUAAGUUGACCGCCUGGGGAGUACGGCCGCAAGGUUAAAACUCAAAUGAAUUGACGGGGGCCCGCACAAGCGGUGGAGCAUGUGGUUUAAUUCGACGCAACGCGAAGAACCUUACCUGGCCUUGACAUGCAGAGAACUUUCCAGAGAUGGAUUGGUGCCUUCGGGAACUCUGACACAGGUGCUGCAUGGCCGUUGUCAGCUCGUGUCGUGAGAUGUUGGGUUAAGUCCCGUAACGAGCGUAACCCCUAUCCCUAGUUGCUAGCAGUUCGGCUGAGAACUCUAGGGAGACUGCCGGUGACAAACCGGAGGAAGGUGGGGAUGACGUCAGGUCAUCAUGGCCCUUACGGCCAGGGCUACACACGUGCUACAAUGGUGCGUACAGAGGGCUGCAAACCCGCGAGGGGGAGCUAAUCUCACAAAACGCAUCGUAGUCCGGAUCGGAGUCUGCAACUCGACUCCGUGAAGUCGGAAUCGCUAGUAAUCGCGAAUCAGAAUGUCGCGGUGAAUACGUUCCCGGGCCUUGUACACACCGCCCGUCACACCAUGGGAGUGGAUUGCACCAGAAGUGGUUAGUCUAACCUUCGGGAGGA